CAAUAGUAGCAGUAGUAGUAAUUACAACAGCAGCAGCAGCUGCGUGGUAGUUGCUGCUGGUCUUUUACCUAGUGGUACUGCUGAGCAAUCACCACCAUCAUCUCUAAACAAUCUCAAGGCGUGUAGCUUGCUAAGAGGAUCAGUUAGAGUUAGAAGAGCAGAACUCACAUACAUAGGGGCAACGGAUGAUGACAGCUAACUGGACCAGUCUUUGGAUGUAGUGGUGGUGGC